UUUAAGGGCUCAAGUAUUUUAAUUAAAUAUUUUAAAAGGCUAAACUAUUUUAACUAUUGAGUUUUAUAAAAGUAAAAUAUAUUUUGUGCUAAACGUUUAUUAAUUAUUUGGCCUUGUUUAAAAUAUCGUAUGUAAACUAUUCCUACAUACCCCUAGUGGAUUUACCCAAUUAUUUAACUAAGCCAGUCUUUUAGGUCAAAUAUUUCAUGACUAAAGCCCACUUAUUUAUUAAGCCUAAACCAACCUCUACUCUCUACUCUAUAAAUAUCCCCCAAAAUCCCAAAAUUUUCCCACACUAAAUGCUCAAAAAUCAGAUUUCUUGGACUUGCUUUGUUGCUUGAAGACCCACCUCACGCUGCCACAUCAUUAUCACCGAUGGCACCCACCUCCGGCCAGCUCGCCACCCUUGGUGGAGACUUUAAGUUGAGUAAUUUCUAGCAUUGUGGAUAGUUGGAAAGACGAUUUGAGUUUGUGUUUGACUUUUCUUUGUUUUGGCCCUACUAUGACCCAUUUUAUAUGGCGAGUAGUGAGGUUAAAAUAAAGAGAAGUACAGGUAGAAGGAGCAUAUCAAGCAUAAUGGGAUUGAGCGAAGAGGGUUAUAUGUUUCUUUGUUUAUUAUUUAUUGUAUUGAAUUAUUUAUGUAAUCAUUGACACUAACAUUAAUUAUUGUUUUAAUAUUUUAGUUUGAUUUUAAAAGGGUCUUUAAUGGUUCCAAUUUGACCUGGUUGUCGGGCGGGUCGGGCCAGGGUCGGUGCGGAUUGAGUCAAAGAGGGUCACAUUUUAUAGGGUCAAUAGCAGGUCGGCCAAAUGCGGGUCACGGGUCAAUAACGGGUCGAUAAUGGGCGGGUUAACAAAAUAUCAAUUAAAAUAA